AUCUCGGCCUCCUGCGUGGCUAGGAUGGCAGGCGCGAGCCACCGGCCUCUGCUUUUCCCCUCCAGAGACCCCGAGGCGCGGUGGGGAUGGGCGUGGAGCUCCGCAGGCUGCUCUGGGUGCUCCCUGAGGCCGUGGCUGCCAUCCUGCGGGCUUGGAGGAGGGCACGGCCCCGGCAGGUCUGCAGCAACGACUUGAUAAUAAAAAGGAUGGAAAAGUCCGCUGUACAAAAGACGUGGUCAUCGUCCCCUUAGAAACAGCCGUGGGGAGCGCGAGUGCCGGCUGCGGAGCCCCCUCCCCACGCCCCCAACCAGCCCGGGGACCAGGCCGUGGAUGGACAAUGGAAAACAAUAAACAGUGUAACUGGAA